AACUUCCACUUCUGUCCAGGACCUAUAUAAACAUUAGAAUUAAAUUAAUGAGAAGAAUAUCACAUAACAAACUUGAAAAUUUUUUGACUCAAAUAGAAAAUUGCUAAAGGACAUACAGAGUAUAGGCCCCUUACCGUAAGAACUGGUUCUAUGAUUAAAAAUACAGUUUAUAGUAUCUCCAAGUACUGAAUUAUCAGAAAGCCAAGAAGUUUUCUAAUAUUGUUUCAUGGGAAAAAUAUUUUUAGGUUAUCCAUUUUUUAGAAUCUCCUAUCCACUGAGUGUAAGACCUUAAAAACACAGCUCAAAAAAAUAUUGUUGCCCAAUCAUAAACUUUCAUAACCCAUCUGAUGUACAUCCAUAUAUUCACAUAAAAGAUUCAACUUUCAGGAAGUAAAUGAUCACAAAUAUGCAUUCUCAUAUUAAUCCUUAGCAUAUAUCCAGAAGAACUGUGGAGGUGUUGCAACAAGAAGUAUCUAAACUUCUUAACAUGAAGCCCUAAAAAUCCAAAGCACUGGCCCAUAGUUCUAAUGAUGCUUUUAUCUUAUUAUAUGCAUCCAGUGAGUACAUAUUUUAUCAAUAUUA
rnacentral:misc_RNA from 1 species